rnacentral:lncRNA from 1 species
UUCGCUUCGGCUUAUAAGCCGGCUGAAAAGUUGAAAGGGUUGAUUUGUUGUGAGUGGAAAAUACUAUUUGGUGGCUGAUAAGCCGACUGAAUAAGCUGAAGCGAACAGGCUCGCAAUCUGCCAAUCUGCUUCCUGGGUGCAGUAAUAUAUUGUGCUUUGCAUACGUAGCAAUAAAAAAAUAAAAACAAAAAUGGUGCAACCAUUGCGAAUAAGAAAAGGACUCUGCUGCAGUAGCAAUGGUAAUCAUAGGUACUACUAGCACAAUGUGCUCCAGGCAACACCAAAAUACAGUGGUGUGAAAGUUUCGCUUGUCCCCAGCUCCACUCCAUGCAAAAGCGUACGUAGCUGCUGCUCCCAAGCGAAGUACUACACGUCUACACCACCCUCUGAUCCCUCUCUCUCUCUCACUCGCUCUACAGCAGCAACGGUUACGGCAGUGACAUAAUAACAGCGGCAGUGGACGACUGACAGGUGCGCCCCACCGCUCCUCACGCCAGGGACGGGCCCACCGCCAGCGAGAGCAGCACCAGCGCCGCCGCCGCGGCGGAUGCCGCCGCACCUCCCGCCGCCGCGCCGCUCUGCAGAACACAGACGAGCCCCACGGGGCAGUGAGUCAGUGAGAGUACAUUGACCACGUAGGAGGAGUAGUCUACAGAACACAACACAGCGCAAGGUGUGGCCACGUGCGGGCCCCGGCCGUCAGCGGGGCGGAAAUUAUUCGCGCACCCCACGCGACCGUACCCUCGCACGAACGGCUACUGGCAGGCGGGGCCCGCGGCGCGUCGAGACCGAGGGGGUAAGCUGCCGCGCGGGGCCCGGGAGGCGCGUCGGUCUCCGACGCUUUGACCCGACAGGCGGCAGGCAUGCCCUCGCUGACGCGUGGGGCCCCGCGCCGCGCCCUUGCCUCGGGCUCCGCGCUCCUCGCGGCCACGGGCCCUCGGGAGCAGGUGGGGAUCAAACGCAGUGGAGUGGGGAGGAGACGUACCAUCAUGUCGGCGGUGGAGGGGCCGGGUCCCGGGGCGAGGCCGGCGGCGGCGCCGGUGGACGGGGACGCGGAGGCGAGCGGGGGCGAUGCGGGCGCCACGUGCUUCUUCUCCAUCGGCGGCGGCGGCUUCUUGCUGGGCGCCGGGGCGGGGAGGACGACGGGCGCGGGGGCGGGAGGGGACGAGGUCGACGGCGCGGGUGCGAGCGCCGGGGGAGGAGGGAGCGUCGUCGGCGCGGGCACCGGCGGGGAGAACGCGGCGGGAGGGGUGGCGGCGCGGACGACGGUCGCAGGCGCCGGCGCGGUGGACGGGGGAGAGGGGGGCAAUGCCGGCGGCUGGGAGGAGGUGAUGGGUNNNNNN